rnacentral:rRNA from 1 species
ACGAACGCUGGCGGCGUGCUUAACCCCUGCAAGUCGAACGGAAAGGCCCUGCUUUUGUGGGGUGCUCGAGUGGCGAACGGGUGAGUAACACGUGAGUAACCUGCCCUUGACUUUGGGAUAACUUCAGGAAACUGGGGCUAAUACCGGAUAGGAGCUCCUGCUGCAUGGUGGGGGUUGGAAAGUUUCGGCGGUUGGGGAUGGACUCGCGGCUUAUCAGCUUGUUGGUGGGGUAGUGGCUUACCAAGGCUUUGACGGGUAGCCGGCCUGAGAGGGUGACCGGCCACAUGGGGACUGAGAUACGGCCCAGACGCCUACGGGAGGCAGCAGUGGGGAAUAUUGCACAAGGGGCGGAAGCCUGAUGCAGCAACGCCGCGUGCGGGAUGACGGCCUUCGGGUUGUAAACCGCUUUCGCCUGUGACGAAGCGUGAGUGACGGUAAUGGGUAAAGAAGCACCGGCUAACUACGU